AAUGACUAUCUAAGCCCAUGUCAGUGAGAUCUUGCAGUCACUCCAUAAAGAGAUGGAGUCUAUAUUCUCUUGUCUUGAUGCUUUGAACUCAUUUUGGUGAGUACACUGUCAAAAGUUGAAUGUAUGCCAAUUCCUAGCCUAGUGUUCAAGAGGCCUUUCAAAUUUCCACUUGCCUUCUUGGAACUUUAGCAUUAACUGGGGAACAAGCCUGGGACAGUUUCCAGAAAAAAGUUAGCAUAGCGGGUCUGAAGUUACUAUCCUUGGAAAGACUUGCUUGCAAGAUGGGCCCUAAACUGGCAUCUGAAAACUUGGAUUUCUCAAAUAUUCCUCCCACUGAAACUAUUAAGAGUGGCUCACUGUGCUUAAAAUAUUUGUUUAAGCAAUAUGGUUUAUGUUGAACUCCUGCUUUUGUUCUGAGAGUGUGGAAUUUUGGUAUGUGCCAGGUAGAGGGUACGUAAUUACAUGACCAGCCCCUACCACAAAUCCUGGGCAUUGAGUCUCCAGUGAAAUUCCCUGGUAGACAACAUUUCAGAUGUGUUGUCACAGUUCAUUGCUGGAGGAAUUAAGCACAGUCCUAUGUGAUUCGACUAAGAGAGGACUCUGAAACUUGUACCUUGUCUCCUGAGGACUUUGCCCCACAGGCCUUUGCUUUUGCUGAUUUUACUUUGUAUCCUUUUGCAUAAUAAACCACAGCCACGAGUUUGACUAUUUGCUGAGGCUUUUGUGAGUUCUCCUAGUGAAUCACUGAAUCUCUGGAGUCGUCUUGGGAAUCCCUGGCAUGGAUAGACUGCUGAGGAAUGAAAGACAACAUGAAUCAGAGAAAAUUUUCCCACUUGAGGUUAUCUUAAAUCAGCUAACAGUCAGCUAACUGCCAGAUGUGAGUGAGCCCCAGAUGAGCAUCCAGAGAUGGGAGCAAGUUUGGAUUAUUUUCAGGGUUAAGGUUGAUUAUCUUAUUCUCCUUUCCCCUGGCACACAACGGGUGCUUAGUUGGGCAUUAAAUAUGUGGCUGAUUGGCUUAGCUAUUUAGUAAUGUGUGCUAACAUCAGUGCUGAUUACCAGAAUUUCUUUCUUCAAAAUAAAAUAGCCAGGAAGAAUUGCUUCA
rnacentral:lncRNA from 12 species